rnacentral:lncRNA from 1 species
UCGACAUCGACCGACGAAUCAUUUCUCACUGUAGUGCGAUUCUGUAACUCGUUAUUGGAGUUAAUGACACUUUCGUCAUCGUUGCGCAGCAAACGUAUAUCGUAGAAAAGCUGCGCAACGAUAACGAAAGUGUUGUUAACUCUAAUAACGAGUUACAGAAUCGCACCACUGGGGAAGAAUAAACUUGUGAUGUCAUUUAUGUUGAACUUUACAUAUAAUGUAUGCAACGAACAAAGUCUUUUGUUUGCUUCUGCGGCGGUUGGAUGUAGUUCCCGUAACUACGCACAUUUUUUAUCUUGGGGACUAUGUACGCGUUCUUGUUUCUCUUUUAUUUCCAAAAUCGUGAUUGAUGUAAGAGAAGGAGUGUAAUAAAUCUGCUCAGAGCCAUAAAUUGAAUGAAUGAAUGAAUGCAUACAACAAACUUCGAAAAAUGGUUACUCAGAAUGGAGUAUAUUAUUGUCCCGCUUCUCCUCAUUCUGCCUCCUUGCUUUUGAGUGUCCAAACUACUCCAUUAUCCUCCACUAUAUUUUGCUUUGAUCGGAAUCUGAGAUAUUGUCAAAUUACAUAGUGGUUCUUUUCCCCGUAGGCCUUUCCAAUUAUACCUCUCUGCCAAUUUAUUCGAAAAUGUUUUAUAUAAUAUUCUCUUAAUGGCAUCAUCAAUUUUCAUUCCUUCGAUGGAUUUUAUAUAUGCUCGCUGGGAAUAUCAGGAGAAUAUGCUAUACCAGUACAUAAUUAAAAUGGAGUAAAUUGGCAAUGACAUUAUAUGCAAGAAAAGUAACAAAAAGAAAAGAAAGUUGAUAAUUAAAAUUGCAUUAUGUUGGGAAUUACGGUCUUUUAAAAUAGUCUCAACUUCUGUUAAUUGGAGUACAGUUUGUAAUGGAAAUAGAUUCCAGCAUCCUCAAAAGGAAACGUUGUGUUCUGGGCUUCCAUUUUCGCAUUUGCUUUAACUAAAAUGUCCAACAAGACUUUCUUGUGUACAGUUUAAUCUUUCAAUUUUACUCAUUCUCAGAGCACUCCAGUUUAGCAGAUUCUCACGAUUUUUCUGUGUUCUGAUUUCAACUAUAUUCCAUGUUUCUUCAUCUCUUUCAUAACAAGCACUAUGAUUACUCGGCGCAUCUAUACAUAAUAUAAAAUAAAUAUAUUAUACAGCAGAAUCGCAAAAAUCUGUUGUAGACGUACUUUCAUGUUCACUUUCAUUGCAUAGUCGUUGACCUUUUAGUACGAAAAUUGAAAAGAUAUAAUAUAUAAUACGAGAGAGUAUUCGCCAAAAAUUCGUUCUAUUGGACAAGAAGGCCAAUCAACACUUGGUAUUUCUUCCUUUUCAAUAGCUUUUCGAAUUCUUGCGUCUGUUUUAUAGCGUAAAGGAUAUUUGCAUAUGUUUUCAUUUUGUAGCCAAAUUUUUGGUAUUACUUGAACACCAUCAGGAAAUUCUGCUACAAUGAAUCUACCACUCGACAUCGUCUGAAAUUAUAUGAAGAAAUACAUAUGCGAGUAAUGUUAUAAAGAUGUCAACUCUUUUAUAUUGUAAUGCAUAAAGAUCAAUCUAAUUUCCUCACUUUA